AGCAUAUCAAUAAGCGGAGGAAAAGAAACCAACAGGGAUUGCCCUAGUAACGGCGAGUGAAGCGGCAACAGCUCAAAUUUGAAAUCUGGCCCUUGGGUCCGAGUUGUAAUUUGUAGAGGAUGCUUUUGGUGCGGUGCCUUCCGAGUUCCCUGGAACGGGACGCCAUAGAGGGUGAGAGCCCCGUCUGGUUGGACACCAAGCCUCUGUAAAGCUCCUUCGACGAGUCGAGUAGUUUGGGAAUGCUGCUCUAAAUGGGAGGUAUAUGUCUUCUAAAGCUAAAUAUUGGCCAGAGACCGAUAGCGCACAAGUAGAGUGAUCGAAAGAUGAAAAGCACUUUGAAAAGAGGGUUAAACAGUACGUGAAAUUGUUGAAAGGGAAGCGCUUAUGACCAGACUUGGGCCCGGUUAAUCAUCCAGCGUUCUCGCUGGUGCACUUGGCCGGCCCAGGCCAGCAUCAGUUCGGCGCGGGGGAUAAAGGCUUUGGGAAUGUGGCUCCUCCGGGAGUGUUAUAGCCCAUUGUGUAAUACCCUGCACUGGACUGAGGUUCGCGCAUCUGCAAGGAUGCUGGCGUAAUGGUCAUCAGCGACCCGUCUUGAAACACGGACCAAGGAGUCGUCUUCGUAUGCGAGUGUUCGGGUGUUAAACCCCUACGCGUAAUGAAAGUGAACGCAGGUGAGAGCUUCGGCGCAUCAUCGACCGAUCCUGAUGUUCUCGGAUGGAUUUGAGUAAGAGCAUACGGGGCCGGACCCGAAAGAAGGUGAACUAUGCCUGUAUAGGGUGAAGCCAGAGGAAACUCUGGUGGAGGCUCGCAGCGGUUCUGACGUGCAAAUCGAUCGUCAAAUAUGGGCAUGGGGGGCGAAAGACUAAUUAAACCUUCUAGUAGCUGGUUUCCCCA
rnacentral:rRNA from 1 species